rfam:Brachypodium distachyon strain Bd21 chromosome 3, whole genome shotgun sequence.
AAUAUACUCCCUCCGUCCCAUAUUAAGUGACUCAAAUUUGUCAAAAUAUGGAUGUAUCUAUGCCUAAAGAAUGUGUAGAUACAUGUAAUAGAAAGUCACUUAAUAUGGGACAGAGAGAGUAGAAA